CCCCUUGGGGAGUAGCCGGCUUCCGUGAUGCGGAAGCGCCUGUAUCAACACACUCGAUCCGUUGCGAUCGUGGUGCAGGCAACCAGUCAGGGUUGGCGAGACCAGCGGCAUAUCGGCGCAACAGCGGUUGGGCGUGCCGGCGUGCCGUGCAUGGUCCAGGCCCGACCCGAA
rnacentral:sRNA from 1 species